rnacentral:rRNA from 1 species
UACAGAGGGUGCGAGCGUUAAUCGGAAUUACUGGGCGUAAAGCGUGCGUAGACGGUUAUUUAAGUCGGGUGUGAAAGCCCCGGGCUCAACCUGGGAAUUGCAUUCGAGACUGAAUAGCUAGGGUACGGUAGAGGGAAGUGGAAUUUCCGGUGUAGCGGUGAAAUGCGUAGAUAUCGGAAGGAACAUCAGUGGCGAAAGCGACUUCCUGGACCAAUACUGACGCUCAUGUGCGAAAGCGUGGGGGAGCAAACAGG